rnacentral:rRNA from 1 species
UACGGGGGGAGCAAGCGUUGUUCGGAUUUACUGGGCGUAAAGGGCGCGUAGGCGGCCACUGCAAGUCGGUUGUGAAAUCUCCGGGCUUAACCCGGAAAGGUCAACCGAUACUGCAGGGCUAGAGUGCAGAAGGGGCAACUGGAAUUCUCGGUGUAGCGGUGAAAUGCGUAGAUAUCGGGAGGAACACCUGCGGCGAAGGCGGGUUGCUGGGCUGACACUGACGCUGAUGCGCGAAAGCUAGGGGAGCGAACGGG